rnacentral:ribozyme from 1 species
UGUCCAGCAACACCUAUUCCUACCUACUCGCAUUACUGGCCGGGGUACGAGUAACCUUGGGGAAGAUCGGAUAACCAUCCCCGGUGGGUAGUUUGGUCGUAUGCCGACAGGGAAGG